rnacentral:rRNA from 1 species
GACGAACGCUGGCGGCGUGCUUAACACAUGCAAGUCGAACGAUGAAGCUGGAGCUUGCUCCGGUGGAUUAGUGGCGAACGGGUGAGUAACACGUGAGCAAUCUGCCCUUGACUCUGGGAUAACUGCGGGAAACUGUAGCUAAUACCGGAUACGACACCUUGGGGCAUCCCAGGGUGUGGAAAGAAUUUCGGUCAAGGAUGAGCUCGCGGCCUAUCAGCUGGUUGGUGAGGUAAUGGCUCACCAAGGCGACGACGGGUAGCCGGCCUGAGAGGGUGACCGGCCACACUGGAACUGAGACACGGUCCAG